CGAUCAUAUUUACACUUAUAGAGCUGUUUUCGCCUAUUCCCAUCAUGUAAAUCGCAUGAACUGUUGUUCAUUGUUCAGCAUUAUUGUUCUUGCUACUAUAUUGCUAAUGUAUAUUGUCUGAGCUUCGUUU